rnacentral:rRNA from 1 species
UAAUACGGAGGGGGUUAGCGUUGUUCGGAAUUACUGGGCGUAAAGCGUACGUAGGCGGAUUAGUCAGUCAGAGGUGAAAUCCCAGGGCUCAACCCUGGAACUGCCUUUGAUACUGCUAGUCUUGAGUUCGAGAGAGGUGAGUGGAAUUCCAAGUGUAGAGGUGAAAUUCGUAGAUAUUUGGAGGAACACCAGUGGCGAAGGCGGCUCACUGGCUCGAUACUGACGCUGAGGUACGAAAGUGUGGGGAGCAAACAGGAUUAGAUACCCUGGUAGUCCACACCGUAAACGAUGAAUGCCAGUCGUCGGGCAGUAUACUGUUCGGUGACACACCUAACGGAUUAAGCAUUCCGCCUGGGGAGUACGGUCGCAAGAUUA